rnacentral:rRNA from 1 species
GAUUAGCCUGCGUCCGAUUAGCUAGUUGGUAGGGUAAAGGCCUACCAAGGCGACGAUCGUUAGCUGGUCUGAGAGGAUGACCAGCCACACUGGAACUGAGACACGGUCCAGACUCCUACGGGAGGCAGCAGUGGGGAAUAUUGGACAAUGGGGGCAACCCUGAUCCAGCAAUACCGCGUGUGAAGAAGGCCUGAGGGUUGUAAAGCACUUUCAGUGGGGAGGAGAAUGCUUAGGUUAAGAGCUAGAGUAUUGGACGUUACCCACAGAAGAAGCACCGGCUAACUCCGUGCCAGCAGCCGCGGUAAUACGGAGGGUGCGAGCGUUAAUCGGAAUUACUGGGCGUAAAGGGUGCGUAGGUGGUUAAAUAAGUUAUCUGUGAAAUCCCCGGGCUCAACCUGGGCAGGUCAGAUAAUACUGUUUAACUCGAGUAUGGGAGAGGGUAGUGGAAUUUCCGGUGUAGCGGUGAAAUGCGUAGAGAUCGGAAGGAACACCAGUGGCGAAGGCGGCUACCUGGCCUAAUACUGACACUGAGGCACGAAAGCGUGGGGAGCAAACAGGAUUAGAUACCCUGGUAGUCCACGCUGUAAACGAUGUCAACUAGCUGUUGG